rnacentral:rRNA from 1 species
AGUAACGCGUGGGUAACCUGCCUCAUACAGGGGAUAACAGUUAGAAAUGACUGCUAAUACCGCAUAAGCGCACAGUGCUGCAUGGCACAGUGUGAAAAACUCCGGUGGUAUGAGAUGGACCCGCGUCUGAUUAGCUAGUUGGUGGGGUAACGGCCUACCAAGGCGACGAUCAGUAGCCGGCCUGAGAGGGUGAACGGCCACAUUGGGACUGAGACACGGCCCAAACUCCUACGGGAGGCAGCAUG